UGCAAGUAUAACACAGUUAGCAUUUUAAAAGAUUGCAUUUGUCUGUACACUGCAGGCGGCAAUUAUGAGCAGGAAAAUCUUUUGUGAAAGAUGGUAUGACCUUCCUUUUGGUGAAAGAGUGAUAAUGGCUUCUUGUGGAGAUGGUUUUCAUCAAGACGAGGCACAAGAAAAGCUCCAGCAACAGGACAAUACACAGGGGAAAUACCUUAAGGUCAUGCUAGAGUUAUCUUAAUGAUUGAAAGGUGUCAUUCAUAUUUUCUUCAUGAAGAAGGUGCAUUUUUCACUGACUGAUAUUCAGUGGGAUCUCAAAAAUGCUGAGGACAAGCCAGCAAACUGACAAAAGCAAACAAUUGGCAUAAAAAACCAAUGCAUCUACUGGAAAUGUAUGACCAGUAACAGAGAAGAUACCAAGUCAUUCAUGAAAACCCAGUGAAAUGCAAGAGUGAAAGAAGCAUAAUACAAGAAAAAUACAAGAGAAGAUUACUCAUGAGGAUUAAAAGGAGCAAAUGUUCAGUAAAUAUUUUUUUCC